rnacentral:rRNA from 1 species
UAGGGAAUCUUCGGCAAUGGGGGCAACCCUGACCGAGCAACGCCGCGUGAGUGAAGAAGGUUUUCGGAUCGUAAAGCUCUGUUGUAAGAGAAGAACGUGUGUGAGAGUGGAAAGUUCACACAGUGACGGUAACUUACCAGAAAGGGACGGCUAACUACGUGCCAGCAGCCGCGGUAAUACGUAGGUCCCGAGCGUUGUCCGGAUUUAUUGGACGUAAAGCGAGCGCAGGCGGUUUAAUAAGUCUGAAGUUAAAGGCAGUGGCUUAACCAUUGUUCGCUUUGGAAACUGUUAAACUUGAGUGCAGAAGGGGAGAGUGGAAUUCCAUGUGUAGCGGUGAAAUGCGUAGAUAUAUGGAGGAACACCGGUGGCGAAAGCGGCUCUCUGGUCUGUAACUGACGCUGAGGCUCGAAAGCGUGGGGAGCAAACAGG